UGGCUAUGAUUACUUAUCCGCGCUUCUGAGAUUUUUUGUCGACGAAGCAAGAAACAGGAUAAUGGUUGAAUUUCUUGAUAUGAGCCA